rnacentral:lncRNA from 1 species
GGCAAAACUGCUGACGAGUGUACCCUUUCUACAGAAAGUAAAAAAAGGAAAAAAAGGCCUUGCUGAGGAAAUUAAACUUAUGUUCAAGUGCUAUUUCUUUAUGGCACCUAGGAACAAGCAUUUCUAACAGUAAGACUCUGUCUCAAAAAAAAAAAAGAAAGACAAAAAAAAAAAAUAUUUAAAGCUAGAAAUGCCCCUAGUUGGAUUUUGUGAGUCAACAGAUCAUAAAGAUUAAGAAAAGGCUCAGCAUCUGCUGAUCUGGGUUCAAAUCCCAGCUACACAACUCACAGCGUGCGAACCUGGCAGGGCCUCUAAGAUCUCAGUUUCCUCAUCUGUGAAAUGGGGAAACAACAGCACCAGCAUUCAACAAAGCAUUCCAUAAAUGCAAGCUGUUAGCCCAGCGUGGAGACCGAUAUUCUGGAAGUUGGUAAUGAAGAAACUGAGGCCCCAGAGGCACAGACACUGGCCCAAGUUUGCACACGAAGCUGGGGACACAGCUGAGAUGGGAGCCCAGACAGACGGGUUACAGCAAGAUUCCUGACCAACCACGCAGGCGGGCCGCGCAGUCCAGCAGCCAAGAGAACAGGCUCUAGAGGCCACCUGCCUGGGGAAGCAGGGAAGAUGCCCAGGAAGGUUCCUUCUUGCUAGAAGCUUUGCAAAGGCCGCUGGCCACACCCACAACUGCUGGCUGAGAGGCCUGGUGGGCUCACAACUCAGGAAGACCCCACCCACCUGCCCGCCCCCACGAACAGCCCAGGAGCAGGACUGAGCUCAGCACAGUGGAGCUGAUUUACCUGCUGCAGCCUUUCUCCUCUGCCAGAGGUCUUCUGGGGCCACCAGAACCUGGCCAUGCUCACAGAGUGUCCAGCCCUCACUGAGCACAGGCCCUAGCAUGGACCAUGGGAAAAGAGAACUCAAAUAGAAAACUUGGGGUGAAACAUGCAUCUUGUAACGAGGAAGCAACCGUGUUAAUGGGUGCCAUGUACUGCAGAUGAUGGAACAGAAAGACACAGGGAGCCCGAGCCUCUGGGAGCACCACUGAGCUGCUAUGGCAGCCAGGUCUUCCCAUUUCUAGACUUCCUGUUAUAUGAAGAAACAAAAAUUUAGUUAAGGUCCUCCAGUAAUAUUUCUGUUGCAUGCAGUCAACCAUAGUCCCUAAUUCAGUGCACAAUGCCCAAGGUGCACAAAGGAGAAAGGAUAAAAGGACUUCUUAGGAACAUGAUCUUUGAGUUGAUCUUGACAAAUGAAUAGAGUCUAAGAUUUCCCAUGGGCGAAGGCACAGAGGGGCAGCCUCUUAUUCUCCCCGCCUGCCAGGGCUUCGAUACCUGAAUGUGCAGUCAUCGUGUGACACCCACCUUCCAGAACCUCUUACUUUUUCUUGGGCACCUGAAACUAAGAAUCUGGUCUUUGACCAACUAAAUCAAUCAUCACCUUCUCCCAUUCAACAUUCCAACCCCCAGGCUGGGCGCGGUGGGUCACGCCUGUAAUCCCAGCACUUUGGGAGGCCGAGGCGGGCAGAUCACCUGAGGUCAGGGGUUCAAGACCAGCCUGGUCAACAUGAUGAAACCCCAUUUCUACUAAAAAUACAAAAAAAUUAGCCAGGCGUGGUGUUAGGUGCCUGUAAUCCCAGCUACUCAAGAAGCUGAGGCAGGAGAAUCGCUUGAACGCAGAAGGUGGAGUUUGCAGUGAGCUGAGCCUGUGCCACUGCACUCCAGCCUGGGCAACAGAGUGGUAUAAGGAAGUGGGGCCUUUGGGGAAUUAUUAGCUCAUGAGGGUGGUGCUUUCAUGAGGAGGAUCAGUGCCCUUAUAAAAAAGACACUCCAGAGAGCUCCCUUGCCCCUUCUGCCAUGUGAGAACACAGUGAGAAGGUGCCAUCUAUAAACCAGGAAGUGAGCCCUCACCAGACACCAAAUCUUCCAGCACCUUGAUCUUGGACUUCCCAGCCUCCAGAACUGUGUGAAAUAAAUUUCUAUUGUUUAUAAGCCAUCCACUCUACAGUAUUUUUAUUAUAGCAGCCCACAUGGACUAAGACAGGAACCUUCUAGGAGCCUGGCUCUGGGCUCUGUGCCUCACAUUUAUCUCAUUUCACUCUUGCAACCACCCUGAGAUAAGGACAUUUGUCCCCACUUUGCAGGGGCAGAAGGAACUGAGGUGCAAAGAAAUUAGCAACCCAGCCAAGGUCACACAGCUAGUAAGUAAGGUAGGUUGGUGUGGAAUUCAGACCUGCCUGUGUACCUUCAAAGUAUGCUUGCACUCUAGUUCCCCAUUCUGCUAUCAGGAGCCUUGAAUUCAACAUCCAACCCAAACACCACCACCAUGUGUGGCUUAGAUAAAUUAAUUUCACCUCCUUGAGCCUCAGUUUGUCCAUGUCUAAGUUGAGAGAGUUCUGGGGGCUAAAUAGGAGGUCUCAAAGGAGGCUUCUGCCCUCAGUAGCUUUUGAUCCUAUGCAAGCUCAGAUAACAUCAAGGUUUAUAAAAACAGAACAUCAUCAAAAGAGCUUGUAAUGAAAUUCCAAAGCAAUAUGCAGGGGUUAAGGGCUGCAAAUCCAUAAGAUGGCAAUUCCAAGUUGAGUACAAUUUGCAAGAAUAUGGGUCAAAUAUCACAGGGUCAAAUAAUUUUGAGCUUUCCAGUAUUUACAAACAUACCUCACUUCCUAAACUUUUCCAAUCCAUGCUGCACCAUACAUGUAUGCACAUAUAUACAUACACACACACACACAUAUAUAUACACACACACACACAUACAGGAGGACCCAUCUUAAAAGGCCCUAUUUAAUUUGAUGUGGCUUUAAGUGAGGUCUGUUAGAAAUAUGCUACUAAUUUUGGACUUUUGUGUUUAGGAGGAAAUGUGAUUAAAGCUUAAUCCAAUUUUCUAACACCAGAAAACAGCUACAAGAAAAAUAGACAGCCAUGAAAGAACAAUGGCAGCAGUCGCCUCAGAACAGCCUCUACUGGUCACUAACUUGUCAAACUAGAAUAUCCCAUACCAACAAAACAUUGGCCCUCAGGCAUGAGAGAAAGUAAAGCCGUGAAGAUAGCUCAUAAUGGGGCAGGGAACUGCAGGAGAAGAGUAAACUUAGCAUGUACAGCUGCUCUCAAGAAACUCUUUUUGGGGCCAGGCACAGUGGCUCACGCCUGCAAUCCUAGCACUUUGGGAGGCUGAGGCGGGUGGAUCACUUGAGGUUAGGAGUUCGAGCCCAGCCUGGCCAACAUGGUGAAACCCUGUCUCUACUAAAAAUACAAAAAUUAGCUGGGGGUGGUGGCACACACCUGUAGUCCCAGCUAGUAGGGAGGCUGAGGCAUAAGAAUCACUUGAACCCUGGAG